rnacentral:lncRNA from 1 species
CUUCACAACAAUUCUAGGAGUCAGGUUCAAUUGUUAUUGCCAUUUGAUAGAUGAUGAGGGCAAUGAGUCUUAGAGAGGUUAAAUAAUUUGCUAAAGGCCACACAGCCUGUAAAGUGGCAGAAGCUGGGACCAUCCAACUCUAAAGCCCACAUUCUUAGACAUUAGGGGAUAUUGAAUGAAGUGUGUGUAUGUAUGGGGGAAUUUAAGAGAAUAUCAAACCAUUUGUAGAGUUCUACCCAAUAUAGAGACCUUAUCUAAUGUAAGAGAACUCUGAAGACAUCUCAUUGAUUGAAUGCUCUCCCCUUCAUAGCAACUUCUUCUGCGGCUUCCUUGCCUGGUGCUCCAGUCUUUGAGACAGGAAAAACAGACCAAAAAUUCAUAGUGGGGAGAAGUGAGGAGCAAAUGGGCUGGUAUGACCAAGAAAGACUUAAUAAGAAGCUGAGCCUUAAAUGAUCAAGAAGCACUGGAUAGAUAAGAGCACUGUUCACAAUAGCCAAGAUUUGGAAGCAACCUAAGUGUUCACCAACUGAUGAAUGGAUAAAGAAAAUGUGGUACUUAUAUACAAUGAAGUACUAUUCAGCCAUGAAAAAGAAUGAGAUCCUGUCACUUGCAACAACAUGGAUGGAACUGCAGGUCUUUAUGUUAAGUGAAAUGAGCCAGGGACAGAAAGACAAACCUUGCAUGUUCUCACUUAUUUAUGGAAGCUAAAAAUCAAAACAAUUGAGUUCAUGGAGAUAGAGAGUAGAAGGAUGGUUACCAGAGGUUGGGGGGCAGGGGGAAGUGGGUUAAUGGUUAAUGGGUACAAAAAAAUAGAAAGGAUGAAUAAGAACUAGUAUGUGAUAGCACAACAGGGUGAUUAUAGUCAAUAUUAAUUUAAUUGCACAUUUAAAAAUAAAGGAGUAUAACCAGAUCGUUUGUAACAUAAAGAGUACAUGCUUGAGGUGAUGAAUAUACCGUUUACCCCAAUGUGAUUAUUACUCAUUGCAUGUGUGAAUCAAAAUAUCUCAUGUACCUCAUAAAUAUAUACACCUCUGUACCCAUAAAAAGACGUCAACAAGUUCUAGUGUCACACACCAUUUAAACAACAGGUAUUGAGUACCCAGUGUGUGUAAAGCACUAUGAUAGGUGCUAGAGUUACAAGAGUGAGCAAGAGAUAUACCAUGCCUACGCUCCUUCAACAAAGAGUGGGGCUUCUUAUCUACCAUGGCUGGGGCUUCCUCUCAUCUCUCUCUCUCUCUCUCUUUUUUUUUUUUUUGAAGCAGAGUCUCGCUCUGUCACCGAGGCUGGAGUGCAGUGGCGCGAUCUCAGCUCACUGCAACCUCUGCCUCCUGGGUUCAAGCGAUUCUUGUGCCUCAGCCUCCCCAGUAGCUGGGAUUACAGACGUGUGCCACCACGCCCAGCUAAUUUUUGUAGUUUUAGUAGAGAUGGGGUUUCACCAUGUUGGCCAGGCUGUCUCCAACUCCCGACCUCAGGUGAUCCACCUGCCUUGGCCUCCCAAAGUGCUGGGAUUACAGGAGUGAACCACCAUGCCAGCCAUCUCUUGCUCAAUUCCCCUGUAGUAGGCAGAAUAAUGCCAUUGCCCCCAUCCCCAAAUAUGUCUACACCCUAAUCCCUAGAACCUGUGACCACGUUAUGUUACAUGACAAGGGGGAAUUAAGGUUGCUAAUCAGCUAACCUUAAGACAGAUUACGUUAGAUUAUCUGAGUGGGCUCAGUGUAAUGACCAUGGUCCUUAUAAGUGAAAUAGGAAGGCAAGAGGGUCAAAGUCUGAAUAACCGUAUAUGAGAAAGACAAGACUGGUCACCGCUGUCUUUGAAGAUGGAAAGGUGCCAUGAGCCAAGGGAGGCAGGCAGCCUCUCGAAGCUCAAAAAGGCAGGUAGCCAUUCUCCCCUAGAGCCUCCAGAAAGGAGCACAGCCCUGCUGACACCUUGACUUUAGCCCAGUGAGACCCACUUCUGACUUUUGACUUCCAGAACUGUAAGGACGUUAAUCAAUUUGUGUUAUUUUAAGCCACUAAGUUCAUUAAGUAUGUGAUAAUUUGUUACAGCAGUGAUAGAAAACUAUCCUCCUCCGUUUGUCAACAAAGGGAGGGCUCAAAGUUCAUGAAUUCCCCCUUCAACUCUGCAAAGCCGCUGUUAUUAUUUCCCUGCACCCCAGGGCCAGUUCCCUUUCAGCAGCUGCCCCUAUACAGCUGGACAGGGAAGGCAGGCCAGAGCGGGCUGCUUCUGGGCAGAGGCCAUGAGAGGCUCACUGUCCAAGGGAGCUGGUGAACCCCAGCUCAGCCACUCUUUCCUCCCAGCAUUCCUGAUGCUGGUGCUGUACACCCAUAAGCCGACACAGUUCAGAGAAACCAGAACCCAGCGGCUGCAAAGGCAGAGCAAGCCAAACUCCUCAGAGACAUCAGGGCUUAGCAGCAGAACAUGAAACGACCGGCAAUCCUACCAUGUGCUAAAUAUUUGAAUCUUCCCAAAGCAAUGCCACUUUGUGCUCAGACAUCUACAGUGACUCUGUGUGGCUGAUAGCCAACAGUCCUACCCCCUUGUCCUGGUUCAGGGGCUCCAUAUCAAGCCCUAGGUCAGCAUUCCAAUAUUACUCUCUACUUCAUUCUGCUGAAAUGCUCCAUUGAGGUCUGACCCAUCUACUACUCAUUUGCACCAGAGUUGAAUAACUCCUACCUCCAGGGUCCAGGCAGGUAGUGAAAUAGAUGACACAUUCAUGGGUAGCAAUAGGGAACAGUAGGGACUGUGGCAAACUAGAGUGUCCACACCCUAUAAAAGGGGCAGUUUCCACCUGAGGUCAGCAGUUCGAAGCCAGCCUGGCCAACAAGGCAAAACCCCGUCUCUACUAAAAAAAAAAAAAAAAAAAAUACAAACAUUAGCUGGGUGCAGUGGUGUGUGCCUGUAAUCCCAGCUCCUCCAGAGGCUGAGGCAGGAGAAUUGCUUGAACCUGGUAGGCGGAGAUUGCACUCCAGCCUGGGUGACAAAGCAAGACUCUCUCAAAAACAAACCCAAAAUACAAACAAACAAAACAAAACCAUAAAGGGGCAAUUUCCACUCUGCUCCGGCUGAAUGCAGCCAUGCAGAAAUGGGGCUCCAGCACAGCCAGACUAAUUUGUAAGGCCUAAAUUUUUUGAGGAACUCUAAUUUUUUCAUGUUAGCAACUAACUAAAGAAACUUGAGCGUGUGAUCAAACAUACGUCCUCUGUAAGCUAUGCAGGCCACACCUGUGACCUGAUUAACUCCCUGCAGUGAUGAUGGUGAUGUCUGUGGUGCACUGGCAUGUGCUGGGGCUGGAUCCAUGCUCCUUCCCUAACCUCUCCCUGCUCCCCUGUUUCUCUGGCUCCUAUUCAACCUUCAGGGCUCACUGUCUUUUUCUAGAAAAACUUCCUGGACAAUCUUGGCCCACUGCAUCCUUUCUUCCUUACUGGUUAAUUUGGCCACCUUCUAAUCUUCCUCCUAUUAUUUUUAAAUAUUAUCUGUUCAGGAUUCACAAUGAGUUAAAAAAUUUUAGUUAGGGAAUUGGCCCCACAGAAAGGCAACACCAGUGACAACAAGAGCACCUGUUACCUGCCGGGCACCAUCUAGGGUAAGAAUUAUCUCUAUAUUAUGGCUGAGGAAACAGAGGCUUGGAGAGAUAGGGACCCAAAGGACCAUAUGGUCUCUGAGUGAGCCCAGCAUUGGAAGGCUCAUUAUCUGUGGGGUUAGAACUUUCUUACGAAGGAGACUCAGCUGGAAUCUGAUCUAAAGAAAGGGGAAGCGAAAACCUGUGUUUGGCUUAGGGUUCGCCUGUCAAUCUAAAGACUGAAUUUGGGCUAAUAUGUACAGACAAGUUCAUUAAUUGUGGGUCUGUUUGUCUUUCUUUUGUGAGGAAUAAUCAUUUAUUAGCCAAGCGGGACUGGUGCCUUUUUGAGAACUGUCAUUCUGGAAAGAUAUUGAUUGAAGGAGGCCUCUGAGCACAUUCUCUCCAGCAGGCAGCCGUAAGGGAGGCGGCUGCAGUCCAGACAAGAUGAUGAGUUGGCAGUGAGCAUCUCGACAGGAGCCUAAUGAAGAAAUCUGGUAGCUUUGUGCAGUUACUCCAAGAGAAGCCCGAACUCCCUGGGGAGCCUCUGCCCAGGUGGAAGAGCUCUCGAGUGGCUAUUAUUAGGGGUGAUUGCUGGGAAGCUGGUUGCCAUGGCACCGCAGAGGCCAGUGCUGAACUCCCAAGCUGCCCCGUUUCCAAGGCUGUCUACAUAAUCACUGCAAUGAGAGGCACAGGCACAGAAAGGGAGAGAGGAGCAGCUCCCCACUGACAGUGAUCUCCCUGCAGAGCAAGUCCUCUGACUAGAAAGGGUGGCCCCUUCAACCUGGUGCUGAGAACAGACACUGGCGGCCCCACACCUCUGAAGGCAUGGUUCCAGCAAAUAGAAAUUGGACUGGCAAGGAUUAAACCGCUGGUUUGGGCUUCAUUAGCUAUGUGAUCUCACCAACCACAGAGAAUUAACCAGAGUGGAGCCAUCUCUUUACAGACUUAACACAAUGUACCGAGGCAAUGUGGAGAACAGUCACUGAAUUUAUUGAGCACCUACUACCUGCUCCAGACAUGCCAUUAACACGUGGGCUAUCCUUCCCUUCCACAGUCACUCUAGAACUUGAGGCCACUGUCCUCUGAUGCAGAGAGAAGAAACAUUUUAUAAUCACUGUAGACAAUAAAGGCUUUAUCUGUUAGCAAGCACUUUUGCUUAAUGACUUGGUCAUGGGGAAGGAGAGACAGGUUGUACUUGGUCCUCAUUUUGCACUUGGUUAGAGAGUAAGAGGCCUUUCCAUCUCCACUGCUGCUCAGGUACUUCCUCCCAGUGUACUCUAGCACUCCCCCAGCAGGUUCUGUAGAAACACAGACCCCAAGGCCUGGGCAGACUCUACCAGAAAAAUACUUGUGUUCCUCUGUGCUCUGCCUAGUACAUGGCUUCCCUGGCUACCUCUCCUACAGGCCUGGGGAGGCAAAGAUGGGAAGUGUUUGUAGGUAUUAUCUACUGACAACAUUCAACUUUAGACCUCGGUUCAAGCCCCCUCUACCUUUGCCUAGAUCUUUGACUUUGUGUAAACAACAUGCUUUUUCUGGGCCCAAUUUUCUCAUCUGUAACUCCAAGUUUAUGAAUUGUUUUGAUAAUAAAAUACUAAAAAAUAUUGAGUGUUUGCUGUGGACCAGACAUUUCAUUGAAUCUGCACAACAAUCCAGUAAUGCAUGUGCCAUUAUUGUCCCCAUUUUAUAGAGGUGGAUACUUAGCUGUACAGAGGGUAAAUCCAAGGAGUUAAGUCCAAGUUACCCACACCUGGGCUUGUCUGACCCCAGAACCAGCACUAUUGACCACUAUGAUAUACAGCCUCUUUCUAUCUUCAUUAAAGCCAAGUUUCCAAGCCACAGGAAUCUCAC